rnacentral:rRNA from 1 species
AGAGUUUGAUCCUGGCUCAGGAUGAACGCUACCUACAGGCUUAACACAUGCAAGUCGAGGGGAAACGAUAGAGAAAGCUUGCUUUUUCUAGGCGUCGACCGGCGCACGGGUGAGUAACGCGUAUCCAACCUGCCCAUCACUUGGGGAUAACCUUGCGAAAGUAAGACUAAUACCCAAUGACGUCCAUAGAAGACAUCUGAAAUGGAUUAAAGAUUUAUCGGUGAUGGAUGGGGAUGCGUCUGAUUAGCUUGUUGGCGGGGUAACGGCCCACCAAGGCGACGAUCAGUAGGGGUUCUGAGAGGAAGGUCCCCCACAUUGGAACUGAGACACGGUCCAAACUCUACGGGAGGCAGCAGUGAGGAAUAUUGGUCAAUGGACGAGAGUCUGAACCAGCCAAGUAGCGUGCAGGAUGACGGCCCUAUGGGUUGUAAACUGCUUUUAUAAGGGAAUAAAGUGAGAGUCGUGACUCUUUUUGCAUGUACCUUAUGAAUAAGGACCGGCUAAUUCCGUGCCAGCAGCCGCGGUAAUACGGAAGGUCCGGGCGUUAUCCGGAUUUAUUGGGUUUAAAGGGAGCGUAGGCCGGAGAUUAAGCGUGUUGUGAAAUGUAGACGCUCAACGUCUGCACUGCAGCGCGAACUGGUUUCCUUGAGUACGCACAAAGUGGGCGGAAUUCGUGGUGUAGCGGUGAAAUGCUUAGAUAUCACGAAGAACUCCGAUUGCGAAGGCAGCUCACUGGAGCGCAACUGACGCUGAAGCUCGAAAGUGCGGGUAUCGAACAGGAUUAGAUACCCUGGUAGUCCGCACGGUAAACGAUGGAUGCCCGCUGUUGGUCUGAAUAGGUCAGCGGCCAAGCGAAAGCAUUAAGCAUCCCACCUGGGGAGUACGCCGGCAACAGUGAAACUCAAAGGAAUUGACGG